rnacentral:rRNA from 1 species
GACGAGGGGUCCAAGCGUUGUUCGGAAUCAUUGGGCGUAAAGAGCUCGUAGGCGGUUUGUCGCGUCUGCUGUGAAAACGCGAGGCUCAACCUCGCGCCUGCAGUGGGUACGGGCAGACUAGAGUGCGGUAGGGGAGAUUGGAAUUCCUGGUGUAGCGGUGGAAUGCGCAGAUAUCAGGAGGAACACCGAUGGCGAAGGCAGUGUCCUGGGGAGUACCUGACGCUCAGGUGCGAAAGCCAGGGGAGCGAACGGG